AGAGUUUGAUCCUGGCUCAGGACGAACGCUGGCGGCGUGCCUAAUACAUGCAAGUCGAACGCUUCUUUUUCCACCGGAGCUUGCUCCACCGGGAAAAGAGGAGUGGCGAACGGGUGAGUAACACGUGGGUAACCUGCCCAUCAGAAGGGGAUAACACUUGGAAACAGGUGCUAAUACCGUAUAACAAUCGAAACCGCAUGGUUUUGAUUUGAAAGGCGCUUUCGGGUGUCGCUGAUGGAUGGACCCGCGGUGCAUUAGCUAGUUGGUGAGGUAACGGCUCACCAAGGCGACGAUGCAUAGCCGACCUGAGAGGGUGAUCGGCCACAUUGGGACUGAGACACGGCCCAAACUCCUACGGGAGGCAGCAGUAGGGAAUCUUCGGCAAUGGACGAAAGUCUGACCGAGCAACGCCGCGUGAGUGAAGAAGGUUUUCGGAUCGUAAAACUCUGUUGUUAGAGAAGAACAAGGAUGAGAGUAACUGUUCAUCCCUUGACGGUAUCUAACCAGAAAGCCACGGCUAACUACGUGCCAGCAGCCGCGGUAAUACGUAGGUGGCAAGCGUUGUCCGGAUUUAUUGGGCGUAAAGCGAGCGCAGGCGGUUUCUUAAGUCUGAUGUGAAAGCCCCCGGCUCAACCGGGGAGGGUCAUUGGAAACUGGGAGACUUGAGUGCAGAAGAGGAGAGUGGAAUUCCAUGUGUAGCGGUGAAAUGCGUAGAUAUAUGGAGGAACACCAGUGGCGAAGGCGGCUCUCUGGUCUGUAACUGACGCUGAGGCUCGAAAGCGUGGGGAGCAAACAGGAUUAGAUACCCUGGUAGUCCACGCCGUAAACGAUGAGUGCUAAGUGUUGGAGGGUUUCCGCCCUUCAGUGCUGCAGCUAACGCAUUAAGCACUCCGCCUGGGGAGUACGACCGCAAGGUUGAAACUCAAAGGAAUUGACGGGGGCCCGCACAAGCGGUGGAGCAUGUGGUUUAAUUCGAAGCAACGCGAAGAACCUUACCAGGUCUUGACAUCCUUUGACCACUCUAGAGAUAGAGCUUCCCCUUCGGGGGCAAAGUGACAGGUGGUGCAUGGUUGUCGUCAGCUCGUGUCGUGAGAUGUUGGGUUAAGUCCCGCAACGAGCGCAACCCUUAUUGUUAGUUGCCAUCAUUUAGUUGGGCACUCUAGCAAGACUGCCGGUGACAAACCGGAGGAAGGUGGGGAUGACGUCAAAUCAUCAUGCCCCUUAUGACCUGGGCUACACACGUGCUACAAUGGGAAGUACAACGAGUCGCAAAGUCGCGAGGCUAAGCUAAUCUCUUAAAGCUUCUCUCAGUUCGGAUUGUAGGCUGCAACUCGCCUACAUGAAGCCGGAAUCGCUAGUAAUCGCGGAUCAGCACGCCGCGGUGAAUACGUUCCCGGGCCUUGUACACACCGCCCGUCACACCACGAGAGUUUGUAACACCCGAAGUCGGUGAGGUAACCUUUUGGAGCCAGCCGCCUAAGGUGGGAUAGAUGAUUGGGGUGAAGUCGUAACAAGGUAGCCGUAUCGGAAGGUGCGGCUGGAUCACCU
rnacentral:rRNA from 1 species